rnacentral:rRNA from 1 species
GGUGAACGCUGGCGGUAGGCCUAACACAUGCAAGUCGAACGGCAGCACAGUAAGAGCUUGCUCUUACGGGUGGCGAGUGGCGGACGGGUGAGGAAUACAUCGGAACCUACUUUUUCGUGGGGGAUAACGUAGGGAAACUUACGCUAAUACCGCAUACGACCUACGGGUGAAAGCAGGGGAUCUUCGGACCUUGCGCGAUUGAAUGAGCCGAUGUCGGAUUAGCUAGUUGGCGGGGUAAAGGCCCACCAAGGCGACGAUCCGUAGCUGGUCUGAGAGGAUGAUCAGCCACACUGGAACUGAGACACGGUCCAGACUCCUACGGGAGGCAGCAGUGGGGAAUAUUGGACAAUGGGCGCAAGCCUGAUCCAGCCAUACCGCGUGGGUGAAGAAGGCCUUCGGGUUGUAAAGCCCUUUUGUUGGGAAAGAAAAGCAGCAGGUUAAUACCCCGCUGUUCUGACGGUACCCAAAGAAUAAGCACCGGCUAACUUCGUG